CGUUGGAACAGUCCCUCUUAGU
rnacentral:piRNA from 1 species